GGCGGCUCAGUGGUAGAGUGCUUGCCUAGCAUGCAGGAAGCCCUGGGUUCAAUUCCUCAGCACCA
rnacentral:tRNA from 1 species